CACGUAGGGCGCAAGCGUUGUCCUGAAUUAUUGGGCGUAAAGAGCUCGUAGGUGGUUUGUUACGUCUGCUGUGAAAACCUAGGGCUUAACCCUGGGCUUGCAGUGGAUACGGGCAGACUAGAGGUAGGUAGGGGAGAAUGGAAUUCCUGGUGUAGCGGUGAAAUGCGCAGAUAUCAGGAGGAACACCGGUGGCGAAGGCGGUUCUCUGGGCCUUACCUGACACUGAGGAGCGAAAGCGUGGGGAGCGAACAGG
rnacentral:rRNA from 1 species